rnacentral:rRNA from 1 species
GACGAACGCUGGCGGCGUGCCUAAUACAUGCAAGUAGAACGCUGAAGGAGGAGCUUGCUUCUCUGGAUGAGUUGCGAACGGGUGAGUAACGCGUAGGUAACCUGCCUGGUAGCGGGGGAUAACUAUUGGAAACGAUAGCUAAUACCGCAUAAGAGUAGAUGUUGCAUGACAUUUGCUUAAAAGGUGCAAUUGCAUCACUACCAGAUGGACCUGCGUUGUAUUAGCUAGUUGGUGGGGUAACGGCUUACCAAGGCGACGAUACAUAGCCGACCUGAGAGGGUGAUCGGCCACACUGGGACUGAGACACGGCCCAGACUCCUACGGGAGGCAGCAGUAGGGAAGCUUCGGCAAUGGACGGAAGUCUGACCGAGCAACGCCGCGUGAGUGAAGAAGGUUUUCGGAUCGUAAAGCUCUGUUGUAAGAGAAGAACGAGUGUGAGAGUGGAAAGUUCACACUGUGACGGUAUCUUACCAGAAAGGGACGGCUAACUACGUA